AUAUUGGAUAUAUCUUUUAAUUAAAAUUUGUUCUGAGUCUUUUUUCUGCUUUUCUAGGCUUUGGUUCAGCAAAGCACUUAAACAUGUGCCUGGUCUCAAUCCCAUCAAGUAGUCUCAUGGUAGCCAAGUGAAGCAAGCAUAUGGUAAUGAAUGUGCUUAAGAGGACACAUGCACAAUUGUUUUGCCUAUAAGCACGCAGGAUAGAGGCAAGUAUCACCACCUUGGUUUAGAUCAGUGGGGAAACCACCAACCUGGAUGAAAGUUGGCCUAUUGUAAGAAGAAGCACUUAAUCUCCUCAGAGAAGGGGCUUCAGAAUUUGCUCUACCAACACUUGACUGAAACAUCUGUGUAUUUUUGGAUGUGUUUUCUGUCCAAACUGUUGGUUGAAAUACAGGAGACCAUUUUCUAGUAUGCUAUGAAUGAGAAAUACUCCAGAUGAAAGAAGAUUAUUAUACUUGCCUUCAGGCUCGGAGAAUAGAUUGCUGCUAAACCUAGUGAAGACUCCCCCUGUUAAUCCUUCAGACCUGGAUGUAAGAAGCUCACAAGAACAUGAACCAGAAUGCUACAAAUUUUAUCUUCUUUAUAGGUCUGUUAUAUGGCUUAUCCAGCAGAAGUUCUUCUGUAUAAAGCAAGCAAAUGAAAUGCAGACUUCUGCUGUUACACCACACUGGUACCCUUAUAAGGUCACUUAAUAGGUAACAGAAAACAUUUUGACAGUCACAGAUUAUUUCCAUUGGAAAAGCAGCACUUGUUGUAAGAUAAGGUUGUAGUUCAGAACCAGACUCCUCUAGACAGGAAGAAACUAAGCCAAAUCUAAAAGAGAACUACAAAAUUCAGUGAAAUCCACAAGGUGACAUUAAAGGAAUUGUUAUAUUUUUAUGAUUUUGCUUCUUAAUUUGCAUGGUGAUGGGUAUGAAGUGACAAAAAUCCCAACUUACUAUCUGUUCUGCCUCUCCCUUGAUGAAUUUAUGCACGUAGGAUAAAUGUAGACUUAGCAUAACAAUAAUGCCACUAUUCUUUCCCAUGUCCCAGGUCUAAAAUUCCAGCAAAAUUGCACAGGAAUUUCACAAGAUAGGAUUUUUGGAUUUGACCAUUUCAUUGUGUCCAUAUUUAUAGCUGAAUUGUAUUUUUUUUCCAAAAAAGUGUAACACAAAUUAUUACAAAAUGGAAACAAAGCAGUAAUCUGUUGUAUUGUUGCUACUCUAGAGCACACCCACUAGUUUUUCCUUAUGAGCUAGUCCUUUUGAGUUUUUACAACAUAUUUCCACUAAGCACAUCUAUUGCUGCUGAAUCUAUCUUUGAUGUUACUGGAAUUCUUCACAUUAAAUGAGUCAAAGUUUCAAAGCUGUAGUUACCUGUGGAGACUGGUACAAUUCAUUUCAUACAUUUACUGCUCAUUAGCACGUGUAUGAAGCAGUUUCUUGCACCUUGUAUAUCUGUAAUGAAUAUUAAACCAUCUCAUCUACUCAUAAUAAUAUAAUAGCUCCUGUGAUGACAGACUCUGUUUGCACAGGAAGCAGAUGUUGAUGUUUACCUAGAUGUAAUUUGCAAUGAUGAGUGGUGGUGAGAUGAGGUUUUUUCCUGCCAAAACAAUUCAGUCUAUGUUAAGCUUCUGCAAAAUCUUUUGCAUGCCAUUGUGGACUCUUAGGUCAUUAUAGAUAUCCAUAUUAUCACAUAUUAUCACCUUGAAUAAUUGUGGAUCUUAAUUUUAAUAUUAAUCAAGAUAUUAAAUUAUGCAUAUAAGAAAACUGUUUAGUUAAAGAGGUAUUUACCAAGUCGCUGUAAUGUGAUGUCCAGGAAAAGUUCUGGGUAAACUUCAAACCAAAGAUGAAAAUAGUAUUUUUCAGGGUCAUAAAUGUAUUUCUGACAAAUAAAUAUGGUAUAAAUUAUUCA
ensembl:lncRNA